rnacentral:rRNA from 1 species
AGUAACACGUGGAUAACCUACCUAUAAGACUGGGAUAACUUCGGGAAACCGGAGCUAAUACCGGAUAAUAUUUUGAACCGCAUGGUUCAAAAGUGAAAGAUGGUCUUGCUGUCACUUAUAGAUGGAUCCGCGCUGCAUUAGCUAGUUGGUAAGGUAACGGCUUACCAAGGCAACGAUGCAUAGCCGACCUGAGAGGGUGAUCGGCCACACUGGAACUGAGACACGGUCCAG